rnacentral:rRNA from 1 species
GACGAACGCUGGCGGCGUGCUUAACACAUGCAAGUCGAACGGAAAGGCCCUGCUUUUGUGGGGUGCUCGAGUGGCGAACGGGUGAGUAACACGUGAGUAACCUGCCCUGGACUUUGGGAUAACUUCAGGAAACUGGGGCUAAUACCGGAUAGGAGCUCCUGCUGCAUGGUGGGGGUUGGAAAGUUUCGGUGGUUGGGGAUGGACUCGCGGCUUAUCAGCUUGUUGGUGGGGGAGUGGCUUACCAAGGCUUUGACGGGUAGCCGGCCUGAGAGGGUGACCGGCCCCAUUGGGACCGAGCUACGGCCCAGACUCCUACAGGAGGCAGCAGUGGGGAAUAUUACACAAUGGGCGGAAGCCUGCUGCAGCAACGCCGCGUGCGGGAUGACCGCCUUCGGGUUGUAAACCGCUUUCGCCUGUGACGAAGCGUGAGUGACGGUAAUGAGUAAAGAAGCACCGGCUAACUACGUG